UCUGAAAGUCCGGGAGGUGACGCAAGCAGUUGCUCCGGCAAGAGAAUAACAGGAAGCGGGGGACGAGAAAAAAACGGACCGGACUGCAGCCUAAGAGUUCCGGGUCUCUUCGUUCCUCCCAACUUCCCCAGCACGCGCCAGAGGGUCCCCCUGAUUGAAAAUGGCAAACAUUGAAGAAAAAGUCAACUGCGUCCUCUGGUUAGCUGAACUCAAGUCAGCAACAGCUGUAAGAAGAAAAUUUGCUUCCCAUUAUAAGAAAGAGGCUCCCCACAGAAAUUUAAUUAACAACUGGAUGAAAAAAUUCAAGGAAACUGGCUCAAUUCAUGACAAGCCUAGAUCUGGGAGACCCCGAGCAAGCGAAGAGACUGUGGCUGAAAUUGCAAAUGAAGUAUUUAUAGCACAAGAUGGUGGCUAUGUUGAAUUUUAAUAAGAAGCAUAUCAGUAUUUUAAAUUUUAAAUAAUUUUUAAGUGUUAUUUGUUAGUUUGUAGCGUUUAUACUUCUAAAGUCAUUAAAGUUUAAAACUACACUAAUA